rnacentral:rRNA from 1 species
AUUGAACGCUGGCGGCAGGCCUAACACAUGCAAGUCGAACGCGUGGCGGACGGGUGUGUAAUGUCUGGGAAACUGCCUGAUGGAGGGGUAACUAUACUGGAAACGGUAGCUAAUACCGCAUACCAUGGGAUAUGCCCAGAGGUGUUUCGCUAGUAGGUGGGGUAAAGGCUCACCUAGGCGACGAUCCCUAGCUGGUCUGAGAGGAUGACCAGCCACACUGGAACUGAGACACGGUCCAGAAUCCUACGGGAGGCAGCAGUGGGGAAUAUUGCACAAUGGGCGCAAGCCGGAUGCAGCCAUGCCGCGUGUAUGAAGAAGGCCUUCGGGUUGUAAAGUACUUUCAGCGGGGAGGCGUUACCGACAGAAGAAGCACCGGCUAACUCCGUGCCAGUAGCCGCGGUAAUUC